ACCUUUGUUAUAUUUUUGAGACGGAAAGGAAAAAAAAAUACACUGUCUGCUGUUACUGGCUUCAGUCCAGUGUAUGACAGAUCAAAAGUGAUCUGAACAGAUUUUCAAGUGCACAACAGAUCAAAAACACAAGGGAGUGGAUAGGCACAAUGAGAAAGUAGAAUAUUGGGUGCAAUGUCUGCAAAACUGUUUUCAUCGUAUGCUCCAGAUUCCUUGAGCAUGUGUAUCAGUCACCUUUAUGUAUGCACACACCAUUUGUGUACACAGUUCUCUGGUUUUGGUUAUCUUAGACCGGGAGUGGAUGGCACUCAGGAGUCGAACAUGGCAUGCCUGUGCUGCUUAAACAACCAUGGCAUGGCUUUUCUCUUUGACACCGAUGGAAAGCACCAUCUUUUCAUAAAAACACAACCCUGGUUUCUUUUAUUUCCAAACAAAACCUUCUCAGCGCUGUGGAUUUUACAGUUGAGGUGCUGUUGAGAGACGAGAGACCCAUUACUUUCAUCAAGAUCACAGCUUCCUCUGAAGACCAACGCAAAGUUGCUCCUUUAGCUCAAAGAGAUUUCUUACCACUCCUCUUGAAAAGAUGUCUCUGUUUCCCCCUCCAGCUUCUGUUUUAUUGCUGAAGGAUGUUCCAUGCCUUUCCCACAUCCUGUGACACAGCAAAAGUAGCAGAGAAAAGAAGGCUUGAUUGUCAACGUUGCUCAAGAGCGACCUGGAGCUCCAGCAGGAGCGGCGUUCUCCAGGCGGCUCUCCACGUCUUCCCUGACACACCAGUGAGCCGCGAGACCCAGGCAGAAAUUCCAGUGUGGGGAGGGUGUGAGUCAUGAGAUGACAUUGUCCAUUGGGAAGACAGUGCUGCAGAGUCUGGAACCAAACCAGCCUAUUCCUUGUUCUCAAGCCAUCUUGGGUUGAAAGCUGCUGAAAACCUUCGUUCUGGAUUAAUAACUGUGAUGUCCCUGUCAUCCCCAGGACUGGAUUUCUUCACUGGGAUUGCUGAAACACUGGUCUGCUCCGAGGUUCUUCUCAGAGAGGAAUUGCUCAGCUCCACAACAAGAAUGAGAAAAGUUUAAAUGCUUUGGGAGUCAUUCCCAGGCACAAGAUUUUAUUAUUUGAGCUUUUGUUUGGAAAUAAAUUGAGUUCUUGUCAUAGAUUGGGUAUCUUCUCCCUUGGUUCUUACAUAUCAAACUUUCUCAUCAUUCUGGAAGGAGAUUCAAGUGUUUGUUCUCUUUCUUUUAUUGGCACUCAUCUUUGUUAAUUUAUUUUGUAUCUUGAGAUAUGCUGCAUCUCUGGAGUUUGUAUUUCUACUUUUAGCAUAAAAAUGCUGUACAUACGAGUCUAGAAUGCAUCUGAAGGUUAGUCUAAUUUUUCAUGUGACUUUGACUUGAACUUUUUUUUCUGUUUAUGUUUAUAUUGCUAUUUCAAAUAUGUGCAUUACCUGUAUUCUUUAUGCCUUUUCCCCAUCUAUAACUCAAUAAAAUAAUGUCCCCGUU